rnacentral:rRNA from 1 species
GACGAACGCUGGCGGCGUGCUUUACACAUGCAAGUCGAACGAGAACCUUCCUUCGGGAAGCAGAGAGUGGCGAACGGGUGAGUAACACGUGGGCAACCUACCCCUCACACUGGGAUAACCUCGGGAAACCGGGGCUAAUACCGGAUAUUCACGACCUCGGGCAUCCGAGGACGUGGAAAGGAUUCUGGUGAGGGAUGGGCCCGCGGCCUAUCAGUUUGUUGGUGGGUAAUGGCCUACCAAGACGACGACGGGUAGCCGGCCUGAGAGGGCGACCGGCCACACUGGGACUGAGACACGGCCCAGACUCCUACGGGAGGCUGCAGUGGGGAAUAUUGCGCAAUGGACGAAAGUCUGACGCAGCAACGCCGCGUGAGGGAUGAAGUACAUCGAGAUGUAAACCUCUUUCAGCAGGGACGAAGCGAAAGUGACGGUACCUGCAGAAGAAGCGCCGGCUAACUACGUG